rnacentral:lncRNA from 10 species
GUUUCACCACGUUGGCCAGGCUGGUCUUGAACUCCUAACCUCAAGUGAUCUCCCUGCCUUGGCUUCCCAAAGUGCUGAGGUAUGAGGCAUGAGCCAUUAUACCUGGGCAACAUUUUUGUUAUUUUAAAAAUAGUUUUAGUGCAUGUAUUGGAAAUGUUAUAUGAUUAGUUUGCUAUUUGUAAAGUUACACUUGACCAUCUUUAGAAUCCCCGAAGGCAAAAGUAUUGGUUCCCCAUUGAAGGACAUGGUGUUAUGUCUUGCAUGGGCCUCUUCUUUUGUGCAUUUUUCCCUCCAGCAGGGUCUGAAUUAUUCAAACGUAGUCUCAUGUCUGGAUUGGAACAAAUGGAAGAGCUGAGGACAGGAGUGACAGGAGUUCUGCAGGGAGAGAAGCAAUACUGCAGAGAAACUGUAUGACUCUAACCAUUCUGGAAAAGUCUUCAAUGAACACCCAUUUCUUAUGACUCACAUGAUAACUCACAUUGGAGAGAAAACUUCUGAGGAUAAUCAGAGUGGAAAAGCCUUAAGAAAGAACUUUCCUCAUAGUUUUUACAAGAAAAGUCAUGCUGAGGGGAAAAUGCCUAAGUGUGUUAAACAUGAAAAAGCCUUCAACCAGUUUCCAAAUCUUACUAGGCAGAAUAAAACUCACACACAAGAGAAAUUGUGUGAAUGCAAA